GUCUCUCUCACACAGUGUCUGUCUCUCAGUGUCAGUCAGUGUGGUCCCCUGUAUAUGGCACUCUCAGUGUCAGUCAGUCAGUCUGGUCCCCUGUAUAUGGCACUCUCAGUGUCAGUCUCUCUCUCUCUCUCAGUGUCAGUCAGUCUGGUCCCCUGUAUAUGGCACUCUCAGUGUCAGUCUCUCUCUCUCUCUCUCUCAGUGUCAGUCAGUGUGGGCCCCUGUAUAUGGCACUCUCAGUGUCAGUCUCUCUCUCUCACAGAGUGUCUGUCUCUCAGUGUCAGUCAGUGUGGUCCCCUGUAUAUGGCACUCUCAGUGUCAGUCAGUCUCUCUCACACAGUGUCUGUCUCUCAGUGUCAGUCAGUCUCUCACACAGUGUCUGUCUCUCAGUGUCAGUCAGUGUGGUCCCCUGUAUAUGGCACUCUCAGUGUCAGUCAGUCUCUCACACAGUGUCUGUCUCUCAGUGUCAGUCAGUGUGGUCCCCUGUAUAUGGCACUCUCAGUGUCAGUCUCUCUCUCUCUCUCACAGAGUGUCUGUCUCUCAGUGUCAGUCAGUGUGGUCCCCUGUAUAUGGCACGCUCAG